rnacentral:tRNA from 1 species
UUCUAUAUAAUUAAGUAGUAUAAUACCUUACUUAUAACCGUAAGUAAAGAGUCGUAGGUUCGAAUCCCACUACAGGAG